rnacentral:rRNA from 1 species
AGCGAACGCUGGCGGCAGGCCUAACACAUGCAAGUCGAACGAACUCUUCGGAGUUAGUGGCGGACGGGUGAGUAACACGUGGGAACGUGCCUUUUGGUUCGGAAUAACUCAGGGAAACUUGUGCUAAUACCGAAUGUGCCCUUCGGGGGAAAGAUUUAUCGCCAUUAGAGCGGCCCGCGUCUGAUUAGCUAGUUGGUGAGGUAACGGCUCACCAAGGCGACGAUCAGUAGCUGGUCUGAGAGGAUGACCAGCCACACUGGGACUGAGACACGGCCCAGACUCCUACGGGAGGCAGCAGUGGGGAAUCUUGCGCAAUGGGCGAAAGCCUGACGCAGCCAUGCCGCGUGAAUGAUGAAGGUCUUAGGAUUGUAAAAUUCUUUCACCGGGGACGACAAUGACGGUACCCGGAGAAGAAGCCCCGGCUAACUUCGU